UUGUCCUACACGAACAAAACACUGAUACCUGACCACGUUGCCCAACACGUGUGAUUAGGGAUGGGUAGCGUUCAUCCAUCCAUCUAUCCAUUUUCUACCGCUUGUCCCUUUUGGGGUCGCGGGGGGUGCUGGAGCCUAUCUCAGCUGCAUUCGGGCGGAAGGCGGUGUACACCCUGGACAAGUCGCCACCUCAUCACAGGGCCAACACAAACAACAUUCACACUCACAUUCACACACUAGGGCCAAUUUAGUGUUGCCAAUCAACCUAUCCCCAGGUGCAUGUCUUUGGAGGUGGGAGGAAGCCGGAAUCCACGCAGUCACGGGGAGAACAUGCAGACUCCACACAGAAAGAUCCCGAGCCCGGGAUUGAACUCAGGACCUUCGUAUUGUGAGGCACAUGCACUAACCCCUGUUUCACCGUGAUGCCCGGUAGCGUUCACAUUUAGUUGUUAUAUCUUGUUUUCAUACACCAUUUGACUCCCAUUCGCAUGCAACUGCGCAGGCUAUCCAUGACGUAGCUUUCCCCGAGAAGCUGCAUGUGUUAUGUUGCGCCCAACAAAGUGUUUGUACUAUCAACGUCCACAUCACUCCGGAGAAGUACAGCGGGAGACACACGGACCAAUCACAGGAGCCCUUGAUAGCGGACCAGCCGAGCAACGCCCCCCAGUUGAAGAUUGUAUUGCAGGUACCUGUAAUAGUUGAGGCACAGGAGAACGCCAAGAGCGAGAGACAGCUGCCCUCCCAGGAACACCAGAGCCUGCAGACGACUAACCUCCCCCGCCGCGAUGGGGCGAGUGGCCGUGCGGGCGACCUGCGCC